AUGUAUCACUGUGCCGGUCCCGCGGUGAAGCCCUCCGUGUCUCUGCUCCCUCCCUCCUCUCUGCAGCUGUCUGAGGGAUCGGCCUCGCUGCUCUGCCUGCUGUCUGCCUACUCUCCACAGGGGGCGCUGGUGAGCUGGACAGUGGACGGCUCCCAGGUGAAGGACGGGGUUCUGACCAGCGCAGAAGAACAGAAGAAGGACGGUUACACACGCAGCAGCACCCUGACCCUCAGCAAAGCACUCUGGGAAAAGGGGGAGGAGUUUGUCUGUACGGUCUCCCAUGCCGGCGUCAAUCAUCCGGUCACGUUCAGAAAGAGCCAGUGUGAAGCCUAA